rnacentral:rRNA from 1 species
AGUGAACGUUGGCGGUAGGCCUAACACAUGCAAGUCGAACGGCAGCACAGUAAGAGCUUGCUCUUACGGGUGGCGAGUGGCGGACGGGUGAGGAAUACAUCGGAAUCUACUUUUUCGUGGGGGAUAACGUAGGGAAACUUACGCUAAUACCGCAUACGACCUACGGGUGAAAGCAGGGGAUCUUCGGACCUUGCGCGAUUGAAUGAGCCGAUGUCGGAUUAGCUAGUUGGCGGGGUAAAGGCCCACCAAGGCGACGAUCCGUAGCUGGUCUGAGAGGAUGAUCAGCCACACUGGAACUGAGACACGGUCCAGACUCCUACGGGAGGCAGCAGUGGGGAAUAUUGGACAAUGGGCGCAAGCCUGAUCCAGCCAUACCGCGUGGGUGAAGAAGGCCUUCGGGUUGUAAAGCCCUUUUGUUGGGAAAGAAAAGCAGCAGGUUAAUACCCCGCUGUUCUGACGGUACCCAAGGAAUAAGCACCGGCUAACUUCGUG